rnacentral:rRNA from 1 species
CCCUUAGAUGUUCUGGGCUGCACGCGCGCUACACUGAAGCGCUCAACGAGUAUUUCACCUUGCCCGGGAGGGUUGGGUAAUCUUUUUAAAACGCUUCGUGAUGGGGAUAGAUUAUUGCAAUUAUUAAUCUUCAACGAGGAAUUCCUAGUAAGCGCGAGUCAUCAGCUCGUGCUGAUUACGUCCCUGCCCUUUGUACACACCGCCCGUCGCUCCUACCGAUUGAAUGGUCCGGUGAAGCGUUCGGACCGUGGCCUUUGGACGGUUCGCCGUCUGUUGGCUGCGGGAAGUUCGUUAAACCUUAUUAUUUAGAGGAAGGAGAANUCGUAACA